rnacentral:rRNA from 1 species
UGCUUAACACAUGCAAGUCGAACGAUGAAGCCCUUCGGGGUGGAUUAGUGGCGAACGGGUGAGUAACACGUGGGCAAUCUGCCCUUCACUCUGGGACAAGCCCUGGAAACGGGGUCUAAUACCGGAUAACACUCUUCCCUGCAUGGGGAGGGGUUAAAAGCUCCGGCGGUGAAGGAUGAGCCCGCGGCCUAUCAGCUUGUUGGUGGGGUAAUGGCCUACCAAGGCGACGACGGGUAGCCGGCCUGAGAGGGCGACCGGCCACACUGGGACUGAGACACGGCCCAGACUCCUACGGGAGGCAGCAGUGGGGAAUAUUGCACAAUGGGCGAAAGCCUGAUGCAGCGACGCCGCGUGAGGGAUGACGGCCUUCGGGUUGUAAACCUCUUUCAGCAGGGAAGAAGCGACUGGGUUUUCUC